rnacentral:rRNA from 1 species
CGGUUGAUCCUGCCGGAGGCCACUGCUAUUGGGAUCCGAGUAAGCCAUGCGAGUCGUGAGGGUGCGCCCUCGGCUGAGUGCUCAGUAACACGCAGAUAAUCUACCCUUAGGCGGAGGAUAAUCUCGGGAAACUGAGAAUAAUACUCCAUAAAACUAAGAUGCUGGAAUGCACUUAGUUUGAAAGCUUCGGCGCCUAAGGAUGAGUCUGCGGACUAUCAGGUAGUAGUCAGGGUAAAGACCUGACUAGCCUACGACGGAUACGGGUUGUGAGAGCAAUAACCCGGAGACGAUAUCUGAGACACGAUAUCGGGCCCUACGGGGCGCAGCAGGCGCGAAACCUUCACAAUGUGCGAAAGCACGAUGAGGGGAUCCCAAGUGCUGGCUCGUAAGAGUCAGCUGUUUUUCUGUCUAAAAAACAGAGAAAGUAGGAGCUGGGUAAGACGGGUGCCAGCCGCCGCGGUAAUACCUGCAGCUCAAGUGGUGGCCACUAUUAUUGGGCCUAAAACGUCCGUAGCCGGUUUAGUAAAUGCCUGGGUAAAUUGUGUAGCUUAACUAUACGAAUUCCGGGUAGACUGCUAAACUUGGGACCGGGAGAGGUUAGAGGUACUCCUAGGGUAGAGGUGAAAUUCCGUAAUCCUAGGGGGACCACCAGUGGCGAAGGCGUCUAACCAGAACGGGUCCGACGGUGAGGGACGAAGCCCUGGGGCGCAAACCGGAUUAGAUACCCGGGUAGUCCAGGGUGUAAACGCUGCUCGCUUGAUGUUAGUUGGGCUCCGAGCCCAACUAGUGUCGGAGAGAAGUUGUUAAGCGAGCUGCCUGGGAAGUACGGUCGCAAGACUGAAACUUAAAGGAAUUGGCGGGGGAGCAC